rnacentral:rRNA from 1 species
CCUACGGGUGGCAGCAGUAGGGAAUUUUUCACAAUGGGCGAAAGCCUGAUGGAGCAAUGCCGCGUGAAUGAUGAAGGUCUUCUAGAUUUUAAAAUUCUUUUAUUUGGGGAGAAUAACUACAGUAGGAAAUGACUUUAGUCUGACUGUACCAUUUGAAUAGGUAUCGGCUAACUAUGUACCAGCAGCCGCGGUAAUACAUAGGAUGCAAGCGUUAUCUGGAUUUACUGGGCGAAAAACGAGCGCAGGCGGAUUAACAAGUUUGCUAUGAAAGGAUUUUGCUAAACGACGGCUUGUAUCAGAAACUGUUAAUCUAGAGUGUAGGAGAGAGUUCUGGAAUGCCAGGUGGAGCGGUGGAAUGCGUAGAUAUAUGGAAGAACACCAGUGGCGAAGGCGGGAACUUAGGCUAUCACUGACGCUUAGGCUCGAAAGUGUGGGGAGCAAACAGGAUUAGAUACCCGUGUAGUC